ACUGCAGUGGGGUGCCAUUGCCUUCUCCAGAUGAUGAUAAUAGGGAUUCAAAUCUUCCAGCCAAACACUGUGGGAGGAUGGCAUCAUUGGUGAAAUUACUUCAGAAGCAACAUGUUGUAAGAAGUUAUAUGUAACCCCUGGAUACCCGAGACCCCUGGAUGAGAGGCUGGAUGGCUCUCACACUUACAGGUUAUCUUUCUCCGAACGACAAGCAGCACAGCGCAAACAGUGGGAGUAUAUGUGGAUUUUUAAGUGGGGAAACCAGAUUAUGGAAAAGCCAAAAGAACAUGUUUCAGUAAAGAAAAUAAUA